rnacentral:rRNA from 1 species
UACGGAGGGUGCAAGCGUUAAUCGGAAUUACUGGGCGUAAAGCGUGCGCAGGCGGUUUGUUAAGUCUGCUGUGAAAUCCCCGAGCUCAACUUGGGAAUUGCAGUGGAUACUGGCAGGCUGGAGUAUGGUAGAGGAAGGUGGAAUUCCCGGUGUAGCAGUGAAAUGCGUAGAGAUCGGGAGGAACAUCUGUGGCGAAGGCGGCCAUCUGGACCAGCACUGACACUGAGGCACGAAAGCGUGGGGAGCAAACAGG